rnacentral:rRNA from 1 species
GAUGAACGCUAGCUACAGGCUUAACACAUGCAAGUCGAGGGGCAUCACAGUGUAGCAAUACACGGGUGGCGACCGGCGCACGGGUGCGUAACACGUAUCCAAUCUGCCCGUUACUCGGGGAUAGCCUUCUGAAAGGAAGAUUAAUACCCGAUGGCAUGUAUUUCCGGCAUCGGAGAUACAUUAAAGAUUUAUCGGUAACGGAUGAGGAUGCGUACGAUUAGCUGGUUGGCGGGGUAACGGCCCACCAAGGCUACGAUCGUUAGGGGUUCUGAGAGGAAGGUCCCCCACACUGGAACUGAGACACGGUCCAGACUCCUACGGGAGGCAGCAGUGAGGAAUAUUGGUCAAUGGUCGAGAGACUGAACCAGCCAAGUAGCGUGAAGGAUGACUGCCCUACGGGUUGUAAACUUCUUUGUUUGGGAAUAAAUGAUACUACGUGUAGUAUUUUGCAUGUACCUUACGAAUAAGCAUCGGCUAAUUCCGUGCCAGCAGCCGC